CAGUAGCCGCGGUAAUACGUAGGCAGCAAGCGUUGUUCGGAGUUACUGGGCGUAAAGGGUGUGUAGGCGGUUGCCUAAGUUUGGUGUGAAAUCUCCCGGCUUAACCGGGAGGGUGCGCCGAAAACUGGGUGACUAGAGUAUGGGAUGGGUAAGUGGAAUUCCUGGUGUAGCGGUGAAAUGCGUAGAUAUCAGGAGGAACACCGGUGGUGUAGACGACUUACUGGACCAUAACUGACGCUGAGACACGAAAGCGUGGGUAGCAAACAGGAUUAGAUACCCGCGUAGUCCCUGUCUCUUAUAC
rnacentral:rRNA from 1 species